AAGUCGUAACAAGGUUUCCGUAGGUGAACCUGCGGAAGGAUCAUUAACACGCGUAAUCUCUAACGAUUACAAACCAAACUCGUGAACACGUAGUAAAUUUCUAAGACCGCGUAUGGUAGGCCGCUUUAGUUGGCAAGGAGUGUAUCGUUCACUGUGACUCCUUCGUUGAUUAGGGUGCUAUGGACUAUUACACGCGGUAUAUAAAUGUCACAAAUAAACUCACUCAGUGGUCAACACCUUUUACACCCCUAUUGAACUACUUAUUAACUGAUUUUCCACAGUUUGAGUCGAAAGGCUCGAGCUGCACUGGAUCGUAUCACUACGAAACAGUAAAGUACAACUCUAAGCAGUGGAUAUCUAGGUUCCCAU
rnacentral:misc_RNA from 1 species